AUCUAUUGGAAUAUGAUUGCAAACAACAUCCGGUUAAUGAGUAAUAGCAGAAAUACGGUAUUUUCACAUAUAUAUAUCCCAGAUUUAGCAGGUUUAAUAAAUCAUAUUUGCCUAAUUUGUCUAUUAAAAUUGCAAAAUAAUUCAUAUUCAUAAAAAAUGCCGCAUAACUUUGCAUUUUUAAUAAUUUUUUAAUUUUCAGAUUAUGGUCGUUGAACACCGAUAAUGUCUGUAAAAGGUCAUUCUCAAAUUUUAAAGAAGUCUUCGAAUAAAGCUCAAUUUAAGGAGAAAAUCAGUCAAAUCUAUGAAUCGCUCUUUAAGGGACAAGAUUUAUCAUUGAUAAAUGAGAAUUUUUGGGACGAAUUAUUCCUUCUAAAGGUUAAUCCCCAAACGUUUGCCACAGAAUUCGAAAAACAAAGUAUCGAUCAAUUAUGUUUGAUUAAGGAAAUUAUUAGUAAACUGUUUUAUGAAUGCAUUAAAAGAUUGGACUAUACAAACCCGAUACCUUUGGCCAACUCAUUACAGACAAUCAAUUGUCUUAUUAGAGGCGUGGUAUCAAAGAACGAUGACUCUUCCAAUGUAUUGAAAUUGCUGAUAGGUCAAGAGGAAGCUGACGAUGUAAUGAAAGACUUAAUUACUGGAUUAAUUAAGAUAUUAGAGGAAUCUAAAUUAGAUAUUUUACAUACUCUUUCUUUAAAGUUAUUAUUAACUAUUGUUACGGUGGUUGAAUCGCAUCUAAGUCAGAAUAUUUUACUAGAAUACUUAAUGAAAAACUCCCUGUUCGAAACAAUCGUACAACUCUUUGGAAGAUCAGAAUGGAGAAAUGUUCAUGGGCACGAUGCUUUACUUCUAUUUACUCUAUUAGUACAAUACAGAAAACACGAAUCAGCUAAUCCAUAUGUAGUUAAAUUGUCUAUACUUGAUAAUGAACUAGCUUUAAAUGGAUUUGCUCAGACAAUUUCAAUGACUUUGACAGAAUUUAAUAAGGCUUUCAAGAAAAAAUGUUUAGAAAAUGAAUCGAGUGGAUUUCUUGCUACAUUAAGCAGUAUGGUCGGUAAUAUGUUUGUUGGAGAUGAGAAAAAAGUUUCCAUUGGGUCAACAAAUGACGCCAUGCUUCUUGCUUUAUAUGAAGCGGUACACUUGAAUCGAAAUUUUGUCAUCACUUUAACGCAAUGUCAUACGAGUCCUGUACAAACUCCUCCGGAAUCGCCUGCAACAACAAUUGCCAGAAGCCAAUCGAUGCCUGUCAAUGAGAAAGAGCCGGAUUCUAAAAUAAAUUGUUCAAAUGAAGUUUUACCAACAAAUCUACUAGCUACGUUUUUAGAAUAUUCAUCAAUAGUUAUGCAAGGAAUAAAAGAGGAAAGUCGUUUUCACAGCUGUAAACUGUGUUUGUUGAUAUUGACUUGCAUUUCCGAGGAUCAAUUUGCAAAUUCCCUUAUGCAUGACGUUAACAUAAAUUUUCGAGUUCCCUUACAUAAAAUGCCAAUGAGACAUAGAAAAGUCUUCUUGAACAGACCAUCUCCUUCGAGAACGCUUGCAUCAGCUCUUUUAGAUUUAUUAGUUGAAUUCGUACACAGUCACAUGAUGAAAAAUUUCCCAAUGGAAUUAUACAUGAGAGGUAUAGGCGUAAUUCAAAGGGUGCUGUGUUAUCAAAAACGGUGCCGACAACGCUUGAAGUACAAUUGGAACGAUCUCUGGUCCGCCUUGAUUGCUCUAUUGAAGUUCAUCGUUACCUACGAAAAUUAUUUGAUGAAACAGAAACACGAUAUCUUUUCCCUUUGUUACCGGGUUAUCAAUAUUUUUAACAUGUUUAUCACCUAUGGAGAUACAUUCUUACCAAGUACUCAGACUUAUGACGAACUUUAUUAUGAAAUUGUUAGAACUCAUCAAGUAUUUAACAACCUUUAUACGAUGGGCUUACGGUAUUCAAAUUCAAAUAAUGAGUUCGUGAAUGCAGCAAAAAAGAUGAAUGGUUCCCUUGUUAAUAUCAGAUCGAUUGUUAAUCAUUUUACGCCAAAACUGGAAAAGUGGCAACAUCAAAAUAAAAUUUCAUCUCUAACUGAAGAACAAGUUUUAGAAGUUGUUAGAAACAAUUAUGAAUCUUUAACUUUAAAGUUACACGAUUGUCUUGAUCAGUACGAAAGAUAUUCGGAAAAGCCGGAAGAAGCUGCCUUCUUUUCAAAUAUGGUUAGGCAUAUAAUGAAUGACGUUAAAAAGCAAGCUUGUCCUCUUAAGAUGGACUGCUACGAUCAGUUUAAUAUAGAGUCACCUUCGACCAAUAAUUAAACUCUCAUCUUUUUUUUGUAAUCAGUAAAUAAGAAAUUGUUUUUGUGUCUUUUGUCUGUGAAAGCAAUACAAGCUUCUUUUAAAUAUAAAACUUGAAACUAAACUGUUCAAUUUGAAGACGUUUCUAAAUAAUUGAGUUGGCUAGCU
rnacentral:misc_RNA from 1 species